ACCCCUAGCCCAAACGCUGGUCUUGCAACGCGCGCGACUCAUCUGAUCGGCGCGGCUGAACCACCCGCCCCAAUGCCUUGGCCGACGAUUCGCUGCACAACCAACGAUUCCGUCCAAGUGUUUCACCCCCAUAAAGGCGCACAGGUCCACACCAUGAACCGUUAGUGCGUUCACUCAUCUCUUCGCUACCUGACGUCUAUCGACUCGGCUACGACGCUUCGCUACUAGUGCAACAACAACGGAUCUCAUUACGCAAACAAAAAAGAAAUGGCUUCUUUCGUUGGAGGUGUGCAAUAAAAGAAAAAAGGAAAAAUUCCAUUAGAGCUAGUGCCCGACUGCCACCUUAGUCCUAUCUGCAGAGAGAAAAACGCCGUCCGUCUUCUCUUUUCACGUCCUUAAUGGAUUGGGAUCCAGCCAACGUUGGCCAAAAAAAAGGGAAGGAAAGGAAAGAGGGCCUAUUCAUUUGGACUUUUGACUUCUCUACACACACACAUAGACAUAUACACUAGUCCCAAAAGUAUACAGGUACACUGACUCUUUGGCCGUCCCAUACUUUUUUCUUUUUCGGCUGGGAAAGAGGAGAGGGCUGAUUAAUCGCAUUACGGCGACAUGACCGGCCAACUCGUUACCUUUUCUCUCUCUCUCUCUCUUUCUCCAGACUACAGAAAUGCGAUCCAUUGCGCUGCUCCCUUUCUUAUCCCUUAAAAGAAAGAGAAACUUUUCGUUUUCUUUUGUGUGUGUGUGUAGAUAUUCCUUUAUUUUUUUUUUAAUUCAAUCGGCUUAUAGUUUUUGUGUGCCUCUCUCUUUCUCUGUGUGUGUGCGUGUGUAGUGUUUCAAUAGAGGAAUUUAGACAACACGUCGAAAAGGAGAGAAGACUUUGAAAAAAAGAAAAUCCUUGUUCCUCUUUGGGACCAUCGUCAGACAGGAUUAUUGUCAUUGUCCAUUCGCCAGUUGAAAUCCUUUUCGACUCUUAUUUUCUUUUCACAUUCGCCCCUCCCCUGCUCCCUAACCCACCGACAACAAUCCCAUUGAGGACAAUGUUUAUGCAACACCAAUAAAAGAUGUGCAGAGUAACAUGCGUCAUUACGAAUGUAGCAGACACACACACACACACCCUCACGAAUACGUAACUCUCUUUCUUCGCCCGUUUUUCCUGUGUCGUGUUGUUGUGAGAAGGACCAAAGUUAUCGCAGUCAAAGCAAAUGGGGAGGGAGAUUGAUUUCGACAUUUCGGUCAAAUGAAAACAUUCGAUCCAACGGCCAUUGUCUGAUCGGAUUAGGGGCCCCUAUUUUUCAGAUUCCAAAUGCCAUCGAAAGGAAAUCACCAAAGAAAAUAGCGAGUGCCUUUUCCAAUCUCGGACGAUGAUCGUGAAAAACCCACAUCAAAACAAAGUGGAAUGGAGAAACUGAAUAGACUCAAUCCCUUUUCGCCCCCCCCCCUCCUCACCCCGCACUGUUUUGCCAUUCACGAUUCACCUAUCGCUACGACUGACGUUCCCCUCUCGUCUUCGAUUGCUUUUGUCAGAGGCGAGGACUACCUGUGCACCCAACUUCUUCUUGUUGUGUUCUUUUGAUGGCUAUUUCAACCAAGGCGGCACAAAUAUUUUCCUCCUUUUUGCCCGCUGUUUUGUUUUGACUCUUGAGCAUGUUGCCUUCAACGUAUAAUCCUCUUUCAGUCAUACUUUUAGGUUUAUGUUCCUCGUUUUCUUGCUCCCUAAUAAGGUUAAUCCUUCAAAGAAGAGGGGAAAACAAAAAAGAAAUGGGCCCUGAAGGAAAAAGAUCCUUUUUUGCCUCAUCGCGUCCUUUCUUUUCAACACCUUUUCAUUAUGAACAACCUCAAAAGCCGGGCGAAGACGUGAACGAGACAGCCGUUCAGGAAUAAGAAAAAUAGAAACAAAAAAACAAAAACGUUCUUGUUCAUUAUUCGCAGCGAGCCACUAAUCGAUAGGAAACCGUCAAUCAUCACACCCACUAAAAACGUAAUAGUCACCCCACCCACUCUUGCUACUUCCCUACCCUACCCCUUACAAUUUGUCUUUUUGUUUUUGUUGAGAGGCAAUCGAUCGCCAGAGGACUUUGCUGUUCGUGACGCCCACAUCAAACAAUCAACAGCGAUCACUGAAAUUGAUUUCGUCCAGUUAGACGAUUGAACACGUCCCCGCGGACGUGAGCCACGGCGCAACCACCUCAGUCGGCGAUCCCGCCCGCCUACGCCAUCUAGCGGUCCUUUAGAGAACCAAGUCGAGUCAUCCAAGUUUCGCGUCGGUGAGGGGCAGCACUGAGGCAUCGAUCAAUAAACCACACACACAAUCAUCAUCCAACCAACCCCCACUCCCUCCUUGCAGCUAUGGAACCAACACGCAACGCACGUCGGUCGGCAUACAUAAACUAGCACCAAAGUCGUUGGUCAUAAAAAUCCUUCGACUCUCUCUCUCUCUCUCUUUCCUUCUCCGUCUCGCCUCCCUUUCUGCUUUUCACCCUCAUACAGGGAAACUUGCAUCCAUCUAUUACACAUCUCGCUUCUUCCCCCCUGUGCACCAUUCCGACUCCACCCCAACGGCUCUCCAACUUUCGGUUGCGUCCACACCCAAAAAUAUUCAUUUUUUGUUCCUCCUCCUCUGUUGAGUUUUACCGAUUUUCCCCCCAGACAUUCAUCAACUCUGCUUUUCACGUAAGAAAGUAAGAAUAAUGGCAAAACGCAAACAAGGACAUCAUCUUUGAUGAUCGAACGCACACCCCAUUUGAUCCAUUGCGCUUGUUAAAUUUGCGUUUCUAGACCAAGUCGCGACAGCCGCACAUCGUACCGUCUCUGCCUCUUUUUGUCUUGUGGCCAUUUCAAAAAAUCAAAAGAAAUUCUUUUCUCUACUUUUCCAAUAAAAAGCCAAAUGAAAAAGUAGAAGCAUUUCCAUAGAUACAAAAGAUAGGUGGUUGUGUGUGGCGCUUUAGGGCGCAGCGCGAGGAGGAGUACGUGGUAGGAAGGCUACCAACCAGCGCUUCGUAGAUGGCCUCUUUAUUUCCUUCUUCUGUAUCUAUGGAAAUGAUUCUCUUAAAAUGACGAUGCAUUUACCUGGAAAAGAAAUACGAAUUCCUGUAGGCAGAGGCAGAUAGUCCGAGUUGUCGUCUGCCAACAUCCGAGCAACGGAUGGACGUACAAUGGCGCACCACCCAGAAGUUUUGAUUUUUUCCCUUUUAGUGUUCCUUCGAGUCUUGUCGAGAUGGGUGAAAGAAAAGGCGCCCGACACCUGAAAAAUAAAACAAGAAGAAAAUAAAUCAAAUCAAUGUGUGCGCCAGGCAUUUUUGACGUUUUUUUUGUUUAAAUAGUUUGACAGGUUGGGGGAAAGAAUAUUUCAAAAAAAGAAAAGAAAACAGAAAAGAGAUGGACCGAUAUGUUUGUGACGUUGUACGCCCAACGUCAUAAAUCACCCCACACCGAAAUGAACCCAAACGGUUGACAAAUGUAUUUGGCCUUCCACCUCCACAGCGAAGCUCAUUCAUCGAAUUUCUGGGCACGUGGCCAACUAUUUUGUUUCCUCUCAAUCGAUUGUCGAACGAAAUUUCGGCGGAGCGGCCGGCCUCACAUCCAUCGCUCCUUGCUCUGCCGUAGUUUGAUCCUCGUCUACACCAAUUCAUUUCGUUUCCUUUGAGACGGAAUCCUCGUUAAGGAUUGCGUAAACAAGUCGGCGGAGGUGGGUGAGGGUGAGCAGAGAAAUAGAGAAAUAGGGAACGCGUGCGUACGCGGGGUGUGACGAAAAAGACGAAAAAGAAGAGCGAUGCAACGGGCGGCGAAAUGAAGAAGCCGAAAAACAAGACGCACGGCAAUUUCAAAAGCUUCUUUCCCGUCUCCUUUUUCACGGCGUCGACAAAAGCGGCAGGGAGAGCGGGAGAGAGAAAGAGAAAGAAAGAGAAGCUGAUGGAUGGGGAGGAGCGAAAGACAAGCAAAACAGCUGCAGCAACAACACGGAGCCGAACUCAUUUGACAAAACGAUAACAGCGAUGCCACCGAAGCUCUUGAUUGAAAACGAGUCCUAGUUUUCUCGGUCUAGGCCAAUGCAAACGAGACGCCUGCAUAAACUAAUAGCACCGAACUUUUUUUUAUUCCUCCGGCCAUUUGACACGGCUGACUGGACUCGAUCGAAACAUUGGCGAGUUUAGGGGGUGAGACGGAGAGAGAGAGGGAAACAGAUCAAUAGACACGCUAGUCGUACGUAGACGUCGUCCCUUUUCUCUCUUUCUUCUACCGACGACGCACUUUGACGCCCCCCGCCCGUUGAACAAAUGCGCCAUCGAUUGACUCUACAUUUUAAAAAAAGAAAAGAAAAGAGAAAGAAAGAAUCGGGCAUAGGAAAAAGAAAAAGAAAGGGUCGCUGUUCCCCCCUCUUUGACUUUUAGUAUCGAGAAAUUAAGUUUCCUGGCCUUUAUUUGCUAGCGAGGAAACGAGCAGCUGGACACGGUUGGCGCUACAGACGGUACACGUGUUUCUGGGAAAGAAUUUACCAAUGAAAGAACCCACGGAUUAUUUUUGGUCCAUUUCAUCACUAAACAAAACCACAAAAAAAAAAAAGUCGAAGGGAAACUGUAAAAGUGAACCAUCAAGGGCGUUUUAUUUGGACUAACAGAAAAAUUUUUUAAGGGGAAAAACCCUAUCAAACAAUCGGUUUUUUUUCUUUUCUUCUUUCCAACUCAAGUCCAUGAAAACUGAAACCCGAUUUCCUUUUGGUUAGCAGGGAGCAAAAUAAACCUGCACACACAACUUUUUGUACGUGUGUGUGUGUGUAGAUGUGUGUUGCGGUCGUCACUGGGACGGAUCAGGUUUCUCUAACGUCUCGUUGCACGCACGACAACUUGCGAUGCAAAAGAUUUCAGGGGGAGAAAACAUUUUCCAUCAUCGCGAUGGGUCGCGCAAAAAAGACGACAUUCUCUUCGAUUGGGAGGGGGGAAGAUGAAGAGAAUGAUCGUCAAAAUGGUAUUACGACAGUGUGGGUGUGUCACGACCGAGGAGAAAAAAAUGGACAUGAACCGUCAGAAAAUAGGAAAUUUUCCCGAUCGUAGAACGACGAAUGAAAACGUUUAGAGCAAUCAAUUUGCGUGCAGGCGUCCGACUUUGAGCAAAAGCACACCAGGAUGGCAAACGACGUCGUUUUUACCGGCGUGAAAACCAAACCAAUUGAUGCGACUGGUCACGUACACUGAAACUAGUUUCUGCAAAACAUUUCAACAGGGAAAGAACAAUAAAAGCGAAAGACCAUUGAACUUUACCAAUUUUCUUGUUGUUUUUUUUUUUCUACGAAAUAAAAGUAAAGUAAAGAAAGAAAGAAAAAACAAGUGAACGAUAAAUGUCGUUAGACAUUGCAGCAGAUCGAUCUUGCCCAUGAACAACAACAUGAUGGGAAAUGCUUCGGGGCGUUAUCUCAUCCAUUUUUCAUAUUCAUUUUUCUUACUCUACGACUCUGCUCUACGGGGAAAGAGAACCACUCGAAAAAUACACAUAUAUAUAUAUAUAUUUAUUUUUUUAUUUUCAACCCCCCACCCAAACAGAGAAACAUUUUGUAGACUAGUACCACCCCAAGAGACGCCGCCAUUGAAACGCAGUCAGUGGCUCUUUUUUAUUUCGGCUUUUUCCUCAUUUUACCUUUUGGAUAGAAAUUGAAAAACUAAAUUCCAAAAUGUAGGUUUUCUCACGCACUACACACACACACGACGACACACGUUAAUUUGUUUUGUGUGGCCAAGAACGUAUCGACAAGGACAGCACUGAAAUGCACUUUUGAGUUGAAUUUAUAUGUUCACUCGUAUUUCGUUUUUGGGCCCGUUAUUUUUUCAUUCGUAUCUCUCUUCUAAAAAUGUGUUUUUCGUCGUCUUCGUCGUAGGCUCACUACGAAAUCACUUGAAAUCAAGAGGCCCGAAACGAGAAGUUUGCAGCACACACAGACACACGAGACUCGUUUCAAGAAUUGAUUUCCAUGUCCAAAAUCAGCAAGAGUCAGUUAUUCACUUUUGCCAUCAAUUCAACCAGCACAUGUCCGAGAGAACACAUGACUUUCUCACUGUUGAAACUCGGUGGAAAUUAGCAAACAAAAUGAGAAAAGAAAUGCUAGCUGCCAGUGUGUCUUGGCUGCUGCUGUAUUGGGACUCGAGUACUAAACUAAAUGUAAAGAAGAAAAGGUCUGAUAUGGGCGCCAAAGGGCGCCACUAGUUUUCCUUGUGUGGCUGGCGCAGCGGCGCUGGCAAUGCUGGCAAACACCAUACAGAAUAGCGAAGGGCGGAGCUUCACAUUUUUUCCCCCUUCCAUGCCCCUUCUUUUUCUUCUUCAUGGCCUCCAAAACGUUGCCAGAUCAUACUUCGAAACGCAAAAAAAAAAUAGAUAUAUUUGUAAAUCUUUUUGAAUUUGUCGUGCUGGUGGUGUUUGCAAACGAAUCUCAAUAUUUAAUAUUCCAACAAUAAGAAAUGGGUCGAUUAAACGUAUAGCGAAUGAGUUGCAUAUGUUUCAACGACAAGUAAAUCCGUCAGCCUGACACAAGUGACACAUGUUGCCAAAAUGUGCAAAGCAGUGGACGAAAAUGGGAAAACGUCAUGAAAAAUCGAUGACAGACUAACCAGCCGUCGUCAAGUGUCUUGGUCAAUGCUCUUACACGAUUGUACGUCCAAUAAUAACAAUGCAUUAUUGAUACUAAAUGCAAAGCCGAUUACAAACGUAGUCUAGUUAGGCUGGUGGGGCUUUGUUUCGAUUUUGAUUCAUGGCGAAUGCUGGAGGGCGUGAACCAUUGGUGUUUUGGUUGUUGGAGUUGGGCCCACCGUCGUGACGCAUCAUCAGAUUAUAUUUUUGGUCGUCUUUUCCUUGCGUCGUCGAAUGCCCACACUUUUAUCUCUUUGACAGGUAGCUGUCUGGGGCCGAGUGGUUCACUGUCAUUCCAUUUCACACACAGCACAUCGGCCGACUAUUGUCAUCAGUGAUCUCGCCGUUAUAUUGGAUCCAGUCCAGCUGCACGUGGAGCCCCCUCCCCCCCCCCCUUUUUUUUUAUUCGUGGGGGAUGCCAUCGUCAGCUGUUUAGCACCGAACGACAAUGUGAUUGGACAUUCCUCUACCACUUUACAAAAGUUUCAACAGGAGCAGUUUCCAUCAGGACAUGAAUCAUGGUAGCAAGUGUGCAUUUCUCGCGUCUUUUGUUGUCAAUAUUUGACGAACAAGAAAUACGUAGACCACCCCCAGAUCCAUCAUCACCAAGUUGGUGCACAAUGCUACAAGGUUCCAUUUUUCUUCACGUCAAAUAUAUACUCUUUUUGUUUCGCUUUCUACAUCUUAGGUUGUCUAAAUGCACGUUGUGUAUAGUCUACAUACAACCCAACUUGUAGGUGUAUCAAGGAAGAAAAAUGUAUAGCUCGAAGGGGUAUGUGAACAAAACUUUUUUUUCUUCGAUACAAAUAUCGGUAAAUAUAGACCUACAUUAUAUACUAGAUGUGUAUUUCAGUUUGUCUAAAAUGCAUAGUAGAGGACUAUUAAAAAACACACACACGUGAAACAUUUCCCAGGCCUAUUGUGUGUAUAGACAGUAGACUAUAGGAAACUACGGGAGUGUGUUUGUCGUUUAGAUUUAGCCCACGUAAUACACCAGCAGAACUUUGCACGAUCGAUAUGGUGGCGUUUGGAGAAAAUCUGGCAAAAUGACCAAGUUAUAGUAUAGUCUUAUCAAAAUCAUUUAUUGAUACGGAUGGACGUGCUGCUAGAUAAAGCCCUUCUGAAAAGCUAAAACUUUUGCAUAUUACAUAUGAAAUGAGUCUAGUUGGCGACAAGCUCCAUCAUUUUAAGACUUGUUGGAGUGCAACAUCUUUUAGCUGCAAAGAACAAAAGAAUCAGGUGCAUUUCUAUAAUAUAGUGCUGGCACAUCUACUGUACAUACAAUAAGUUAGGGGAAGAGAUUCUACUCGUCUAAUGCACUCUAUGUAGACUAUAUAGCUACGUGCGGGAAAUAUGAGUCCUAUCUACAUGUUGGGCAUUGAUUUCCGAUGAAACAUCAAGAAAAAGGGGCAUACAGUAGAUGGAAUAGAAAAGAAGGAAACGAGCCAAGUUAUGUGUAUCAUAUACAAUGCAGUAGAUCUAUCUGUAUAUGUAUAGACUAUACGCUGCUGAUGUAGUGUACAGUGCGCAUAGAAGCGCACUGUACACUUUCAAAGAGAGAAUGGCAUUUUAUGUGCUUAAAUAAAAAGAAUACACAAGGCCGAGAUAAACACGCAAACUGAUGAUAUUUACUCGAUUCUAUUUUUUAUUACUGUUUUUAUUCUUCCCCUUCGUUGCAGGCGAGUCGUCUCAUGGAUAUAUAAACGUCGUCUCCUCAUCGGCCUUUCUUAUUGUUUUUUAUAGACCAAAAAAGGCAUCACAAAGAAUAAAAGUUGAUGUAGAUGUAUCACGGAAUCACCGCUGUUUGCUGUGCUCUACAUAGACUAUAGGGCGAGAUACAAAGUUUGAUUGAAGACCUAUCAGCUAACAAUAUAGACGAUAUGCUGAUAGAUAUAGCUGUACAGCAUUGCAACUGUUCUGCUGUCCGGCAGCAGUGGAGCAGCCAUACACAUUCCCCUGUUUCAUCACACACAGCUUAUUGUGCCUCACCCUUUUGCUUCAUUGGGUUUUUGUUUGGGUUUUUUCGUAUUUGCUGUUAUGGGUCAAUGCAUUGGCCAACGUAAUAUCGUCUCUGUACAUCUGUACAAAGAGCAAGGUUAUAUACCAAACGACUUGUUACCAUAAUCUACUGGAUGCAGGCACGUUUCUACGAAAUUUGCUAUAGCCUACAUAUAGAUUGGCUUUUGCAAAUGACUAUUUGCAAAAGCUAAGAAAAAGCGAGUGCGGUUGGCUGGUGCUGCUGUAUAGGCUACACAGCAAUAAUCCGUCAUCUUCAAAGUUGACGUGCCAUAUCGGAAGCUGUUGUUGUUUCAUGUUGAGCAUAUAAUUUAAUGUCACAUACGUAGGCUAUACAUUUUUUUACUUUUGUCUGUAGUCCCACAAAUAUAAAAGUACAGAAACUCAAGUGCGCCUGGGGAAGACGAGAGUCAUUUCAUCUUCAAUGGAAAUCAAUGAAAAAAAAGGGGGAACAAACAUCUCGAUCAUUAUCUCUUAGAGUCUACGUGCAUCACACAGCAUAUUAGUCUACAAUGUAGUCUGCGUCCUAAGAAUAACCUGAUGGCGACAUGGUAUAUAAACGCGCGUCACUGGCAACACAACAGUGUAAUCCAAUCAUACAGGUUGGCCAAUCUUUUUGUCCACCUUAUCUUUUGGGUACACUCGCCACCACGUACAAGAGCAUUUAUUAUCAAAUUGUCUAUUUUUAGAAAACACGCUGCAAAAUAAAUGGAAAAAUUGCUUAGGCUAUACGAGCUGUGAUGAUCUAAAGGCGAUUGCAGAAUAAUACGAGUUUGUAUAUAAUAAACACAACACAUGUGUCAAAUGACGAAAAUAAUUAUACAAUUCUGUUCCUGAAUAUUUAAUAAAGCCACGCGCAUUAAAGCAUUUCCAAUCUACAAUCAUGCUGGAUGAACAACCGCCUUUUUCUGUUGUUGCUCUAUCGAUUUUUGUUUUAUUGUACCAGCACGCAGACCCCGAAAUGAAAUAUCGACAUGCUGCAAACAUUAUGCGAUGAUGGCAUGAAAUGAAUACUCAAUUUAAAAAAUAUACAUAUAUUUAGAU